rnacentral:rRNA from 1 species
UACAGAGCCUGCAAGCGUUAUUCGGAUUCCCUGGGCGUAAAGGGUGCGCAGGCGGCCAAGUGUGUUAGGCGUGAAAGCCUGGGGCUUAACCCCAGAAUUGCACCUAAAACUACAUGGCUAGAGCAUUGGAGAGGGUAGCGGAAUUCACGGUGUAGCAGUGAAAUGCGUAGAUAUCGUGAGGAACACCAGAGGCGAAGGCGGCUACCUGGACAAUUGCUGACGCUCAGGCACGAAAGCGUGGGGAGCAAAAGGG